UAAUGUGUACACCCUUAAAUUGUCAGAAGUGUAACUGCUAGUAAGUACGUAUCUCGUUUUUAAAGAAAUAUCCAUGCUAUUUUCCAGAAUGUUGGUACCACUCUCUUUUCCCACCCACAAUGAGUAAGUGAUCCAGUUUCUCCACAUCCUUAUCAGAGUUCAGUGUUGUCACUACUUUUAAUUUUAGCUGUUCGUAUAGGUGUGGUGAUAGCUCACUGUGGUCUUAAUUGGCAUUUCCCUAAUGACUAGCGAUGUUGAACAUAUUUUUGUAAAGACAUGAAGUUUAUAAUUGGUUUCAGGGUUCCUUUUGGCAAAUCAUUUCACUCCCUCCAACCCUCAAUUUUUUUUUUUCAUCUGUAAAAUGAGAAAAUUUAACUGUAUCACCCCUAAACAACCCUCCAGCUAUAACCACUAGAUCCACCCUGGGUGAGUUUGUUUGCAAGGUGAGGAGCUUUUAAUUUUCCCUUUGGGCACCAGCUAUUCCCAUCUGCCAAGCACUGACAAGCAAUGAAUCUCAGCCGUGGCCUUCACUGACAUUUCCAUGAAAUGUGUGACAACUCCCUACGGGCUUCAUUUGGCCCUGAGGCCUUAUUCAGCAUUUAAGUCACAUCAUCAAAGGCUGAGCAAAAAGACUCGGGCUUUCAGGAAUUUAUAAGGGGCUUUAUUGAUUUUCUGAUUCAUUAUAAAAUUCUUAUUCCUUUGUUCUCAAGGUUCACUACAGAGCAGGGUUUUGAGUAAGUGAUACCUUACAAUUUUCCCCAAGCAUCCACCGAGUGCCUACUGUGUGCUGACAGAGUGGUGCACUAGAAAGAGCACAAGCCAUAUAUGGAGAGGAGCUUCGGUUUGAAUCAUGCCUCUGCUACUUAGUAAGUAAAUGUGACCUUGGCAAGACACACAACUUAUCUGAACUGCAGCAACGUGAAGAAGACAGAAAGAAUGAGAUCACUUCCAUAAUCAGACCAUGCAUAUUUCCAAGAUUCCAAGCUACCAGGCAGAGAUGCCAGAAGAAUGGGACACUCUGGCUUUCUCUCGGGCCAGGAAUAUGUGAAGUGAUCCGGCUAUUCACAGGGCACCGUAGAAACUCGCUGGCUGCUCUCAGGGGUGGUCCAAGGCUGUCUGUAGGGCCACAGUCAUGGCACCCACGGUUCAAAGCUCUUGCAUAAUACAUUCUCAUGAUGGAAGAAAAAGGCCACUUCAUGAUGCAGUGAGGUGCUCUUCACUGGUGGUAUUCAAGUGGAGCCUGGAUGCUCAAGUCAAAGGCACU